AUACAGAGGGUGCGAGCGUUAAUCGGAAUUACUGGGCGUAAAGCGCGCGUAGGCGGCCACUUAAGUCAGAUGUGAAAUCCCCGGGCUCAACCUGGGAACUGCAUCUGAUACUGGGUAGCUAGAGUUUUGGAGAGGGAAGUAGAAUUUCAGGUGUAGCGGUGAAAUGCAUAGAGAUCUGAAGGAAUACCAGUGGCGAAGGCGACUUCCUGGCCAAAAACUGACGCUGAGGUGCAAAAGCGUGGGUAGCAAACGGGAUUAGAUACCCUAGUAGUCC
rnacentral:rRNA from 1 species